rnacentral:tRNA from 1 species
GGCGAGGUGGCGGAGCGGCGACGCGCCGGGCGUGCAAGUCCGGUCAUCCUGGUUCAAAUCCAGGCCUUGCCUCCA